AGUGAACGCUGGCGGUAGGCCUAACACAUGCAAGUCGAACGGCAGCACAGUAAGAGCUUCCUCUUACGGGUGGCGAGUGGCGGACGGGUGAGGGAUACAUCGGAAUCUACUUUUUCGUGGGGGAUAACGUAGGGAAACUUACGCUAAUACCGCAUACGACCUACGGGUGAAAGCAGGGGAUCUUCGGACCUUGCGCGAUUGAAUGAGCCGAUGUCGGAUUAGCUAGUUGGCGGGGUAAAGGCCCACCAAGGCGACGAUCCGUAGCUGGUCUGAGAGGAUGAUCAGCCACACUGGAACUGAGACACGGUCCAGACUCCUACGGGAGGCAGCAGUGGGGAAUAUUGGACAAUGGGCGCAAGCCUGAUCCAGCCAUACCGCGUGGGUGAAGAAGGCCUUCGGGUUGUAAAGCCCUUUUGUUGGGAAAGAAAAGCAGCAGGUUAAUACCCCGCUGUUCUGACGGUACCCAAAGAAUAAGCACCGGCUAACUUCGUG
rnacentral:rRNA from 1 species